ACCUCAGUCUUAUCUUCCUCAUUUCUGUUUCCUGUUGAAGACACCAAGGGCCCUUCAAAACACACAACCUUCUUGCUCACGGCAUAAAGCCCAGUUCCAUCUGGCCUCUGCAGGUUGGCUCAGCACUGGGGAACCAGUGUCCCCUCCAUGACCAAGGCACCACUCCACUGACAGACUCUGUUAAUCAGCUUGCUUGGCUGGUCUCCAACCACAGGUCCGGGGGAUGAGCCAAGGUCCUUUUGAGCUCCGGUAUGGGAACCUCUGGAAAGCUUAGCAACACUUUCCAACAACUUUGCCAGGGUCACAUCUCCCAGGAAGAACUCACUUUCCCGCAGAAGCCCCUGGCCUGGCCUCCUGCAGUGCCACGCUCCGUGUAUUUGACAAGCUGAGUUAGACACUCCGUGUGGUAGAGUGUCAGUUUGUCAAAUACCCCAAGUGUGACACAUGCUUAGCAGCUCCAGACCAGGGCAGAUGGGAUAUAACAGAUGAACUGCCAGCUGCAUACAAGGAUGCUCACCAAACACCAAGUUCUCAUGAGUUAUUUUAUGUGACUUUGCAGGAACUGAUGCAUUGUAUCUGAGGACACCAGGGGAGAAGUGUGGCAUCUGUGGGCAAUACAGCCCUGGGCUUCGUCUACAUACAUCACGAGAGUGCUGAUGGGGGCACAAUAGUCUCAAAAAUGUAUAAAAGGUCCAGGAAUAGAAGUGAUCUUUGAUACAUUAUUAUUUUCUUCCUUCACAUUCUCCUCCCAGAGUCUCCCAUCUAGGACACCAGAAUUCUCACACAAUCAUCAUAGCUUAUGUGAGAAAGCAGGGCUUAGAAAUUCACUUUCUUGACACUCAGUCUUGGCUUCUAAACACUCCUUGACCUUGCCUACCUCCUCCCUUUUCCACAUGUCUUUUCAUCUAUGAAUACUUUCCCCAUUUAUUUCUGCCUAUUCAAGUCUUCCCCACAUUUCCUGGCCUAGCCAAAGUCCAGUGUUUCCAGAGACUUUUAAAAGUCAAUUUAUACUUUUUCCUUCUUCACUCACAAAGCACUUCUUGCCCGGGCCCUGGUAUAUGCCUCUUCCUCUCUUACUAACAGCACCUCUUGAAUUGUCAAUUAACUUUUCUAGGGGGGUAUUGUUGAAUUCCCAACUAGAUUGUGAGCUUCUAGAAGACAAGGCUAUGUAUCUUUGAUUGCUGUCUCCCCUACCACAGCCCAGUAGUUUGGUUACAGAAAAAAAUAAACCUUUAUUGAUUGAUUGACUUUCCACUAGUCCACUAGCUUUAGGCUUUGGGGCCAAAUUCUACCCUGGAUUUUGAACAUGAAAUCGAAGUGCAUACACCAAAUGUUAUAGAGCAUAUUAGGUAGUAGCCAACAUGAAGGGUUUUUUCUUCCUGAGAAACAGUGUCAAGGGCUGGAAGAAAAGGACGAAAGAGUAGAUUCAUAGGGCAAAUAAUUUUGGUAUUACUUGGUUACACAAAGUUAUACAGGUGUUUUACUACAGGAUUUUUCAGAGCCUUUAAUAGUCUAAUGUUACAUUGACAAUCUCAAAGAUGAAACCGUAGAAUGAGGCAUUUGCCACACUUAACUGAUCAUGAAUUUUUUUCCCACAGGAAAAAAAACUUUUCCUAUGUGUCAAUGGCCCAUUAAGCCAAAUUUGGGAAAGUGUCCUAGAGAAACUUUACACCUUCUCUCUGUUCUGGAGAUCUUUUCCUCUUUUCACUUGUCUACUUUCUCCACCCAGCCACCCACCUAAGAAAGGUCCCAUGUUAUCACCUCAUUUUUGUUUAGCCUAUCCUGCAGCUUUGAACUAUCUCUAUACAUAGGAAUUUUUUACUAGUUUGUCCUAUAUGAAAAAAAUGCUCAGUUUUGAGACAAAGAAGAUCCAGAUGCUGCAAUAAAUAUAUGCACUGAAGAGUU